UACGUAGGGCGCAAGCGUUGUCCGGAAUUAUUGGGCGUAAAGAGCUCGUAGGCGGUUUGUCGCGUCUGCCGUGAAAGUCCGGGGCUCAACUCCGGAUGUGCAUAGGAUACUGGAGAGCUAGAGACUGGUAGAGGCGAGCGGAAUUCCUGGUGUAGCGGUGGAAUGCGUAGAUAUCCGGAGGAACACCGGUGGCGAAGGCGGCUUCCUGGACCGACACUGACGCUGAGGCGCGAAAGCUAGGGGAGCAAACGGG
rnacentral:rRNA from 1 species